rnacentral:rRNA from 1 species
GAUUAACGCUGGCCGCGUGCAUAACACAUGCAAGUCGAACGAUGAAACUUAGUAAACUUCUUCGGAAAGACACUAAGCGGAUUAGUGGCGAACGGGUGAGUAACGCGUGAGUAACCUGCCUUACACAAGGGGAUAGCCUUUGGAAACGAAGAAUAAUACCCUAUAAAACCAUAAAAGCACAUGCUAGAAUGGUCAAAGUGAUAGCGGUGUAAGAUGGACUUGCGUCUGAUUAGCUAGUUGGGGAGAUAAAAGCUCACCAAGGCAACGAUCAGUAGCCGGCUUGAGAGAGUGUACGGCCACAGUGGGACUGAGACACGGCCCAGACUCCUACGGGAGGCAGCAGUGGGGAAUUUUGCACAAUGGGGGAAACCCUGAUGCAGCGACGCCGCGUGAUUUAGAAGGCCUUCGGGUUGUAAAAAUCUUUUGUAUAGGAAGAAAAUGACAGUACUAUACGAAUAAGGUCCGGCUAAUUACGUG